GAUUCUAUAUGUAGCAAACACAAGGAAUAAUAAAAUUUGAUAACGUAUAUAAACCUGUUAAACAGGACAUUACAGCACGACCGACUUUAAAUUAAAAUAUAAAAAGAUCUUUGAUAUUUUAUUGAAGCUGCAAACGAAACUUAACAAAUAUUAUAUAUUUAUGAAGUUUUCAAUUUGGAUGUGCCCAACGGAUUAAAUGAUUUUAACGAUAUCAGGGAAAUAUUAAGGAUGAAAAGAAUAUGUUGUUAUUAAACAAACUUUUAUUAAAACGAAAACAAACAUUUAAAGCGGACAAACGGCUUUAAACAAGCACUACAUCUGAUAGAAAACGAAGUAUGACAGUCGUCAUCUUCAGACUCCAAGAAUGGAGGUAGACGUGUUGAUGAAGGACAUUGCAGGACUGAAAACAAUUCCUCCGAAUUAGAAUAUGCGGUUGACCUACCUACUCCAAAUCUGGUGUAUUCUCUGUUAAAUGAUGUGAAUAUGAAUGGAGGUUCGUCCGUUGAGCAAGAUUAUGUCAGAGAACUACCUCUGCCAAACCUGCCGUACUGAACAUGGUGUACUAACGGACAGGCGCACAAUCUUUUUAGCCAUCCAAACCUACAGUACCAUAUGGUCAUUACAGCAUGACCUCAUUACAUUUAUUAACACAAACAUUCAUUAUUGCACAAAAGAUGUUAUUUUUGUAAAUUUGAUAUUUUAUUAAUUUAUUUAUUUUGUAUUUAUUAUGUAUUUACAAACAUGUGAUCCCAAUACGUUAGAAUAGCUAUCAUGUUUUCAAACUGGUGUUAAGUAUCAUGAUAUUGUUUGUCAUUAUAGUUACCGAUGCAUAAUGCACAUUUUAUGGGAAAUAAGGUUGAUUAUCUAUGUUUGUUAAAGAACAAAGAAAUAUUUAAUUUAUUUUAUAAAAAAUAGUGUGCUCUGGUUAGUUGUUUUGAGGUUGUGAAUGAUGUGCUCAAGUAUUUCUUGUCAUAAAAGUAUUUUAACAUGUCUUAGAACUAGAACUAUAUUUUAACUGGAAAUAUGAAAACAAAACCGGGUUUCUGUUUUCGUAUACAAACUAGGAUGUUCAAGGAUAAUUUGAAUAUGUAUUAGGACUAGUCAAAUUUAAGACAAAUAAGUCAUGAAAAAAAUGUUUAUGUAUCUUAACAACCGCUUGUCUUUUAUUUAUGGCAAGUGACCGAUUGCCUUCGCAAUACAGAUCAUUACAUUUAGCAAACAUUUACUAAAGCUGGGGUCUUGGCAUUGGAACAAUUAGUCCUGUUCUAAUGUCUCGAUUGCAAAAUAUUUGUGUUCAUGUUUUCUUUUUUACAUAAAUUGCAUUUAUCUGGUUAAAUUUAUACAUUUUAACAACGCAUAAUAUGUUUCGAUAGAUGUUUAGUGUGUGUGUUUUGUGAUUUUAGAAAGGAAAAGGGAGACAAUUACAUUGUAGUAUGAAAUAUGUACAUAUGGCGAACUUUACGCUUUUUACAAUAUAGCUCGUCAAUAUAUAUUUUUUAAUAGAAAUCAUCCUUAAUCAUAAGCUUGAUUAUAAUAAAGUCCUGUUAGUGAAUAUAAUGUAUUGUAGAUAUAUUUAAUAUCAAUUGUAUAUGUGGUCACACAUUCUGUUUAAAUUUCAUUUUUACAUGGGCAUAUUAUAAAUGUUUGAAUGAAAUGUUAGUGUGUAAAACUGUUUUAAAAAUAAAUAAAUAUGUUUUAAUUAUAUACACUAAAACUACACAGAACAAAAUUAAUGUUUUGAAAUGUAUUUCAAUAAAACUUAAAGCGUACAAUUGUGCUGCUUUUGUAACACCUUUACAGUUUUGCUUUUUGUUUAACAUUAUGUAUAAAUUUAAUUAUAAAUAUAUUAAUUACAAUUUUCAAGCGGCAUAUACUAGCAAUACUGAAUUUACGAAGAGGUAUGCGCAGUUCGUAUUCAGAGAAACAAUUUUUAUUUCAAAUUUGAAUUGAAAAAAAUACUGAUAAUUAUUGGAGAAACUAUACCUAACUCCACUUCGCACUAGCCUGACGAGCAACUACUUUUUAAAUUUUUAAUUUGCUUUGAAUUUGAAUGUAUUGUCGAAUGUAUUCUUGUUAAUUAUCAAAAAGAAGUGAUGACAAAUAACUAUAGAUUUAAAAAGUACCGUCGAUUCAAACAAAUACUAAUUAAAAGAAGAAGAGUAUAUUUGGAAACGUUUCAUCAUUAUAUUGGAACUGGUCGUCUUGAUGCAAACGUUAUUUUAAAAUACAGAGUUUGGUUAACCCAUUUAUGCCUAGCGUCUAGAAAAAAGGCCUUGACAAACAGCGUAGACCCAGAUGAGACGCCGCAUUAUGCGGCGUCUCAUCUGUGUCUGCGCUGUUUGCUUACAGGAAUUUCUGUAAGAAAUAUUCUAAAUAUAGAAAUAAAUAUACUAGGCAUCCCUAAUUUUGGAAAUAAAUCGAUCCAAUUUAGAAGGAUGGGAGAGUCCACUAGGCAUAAAUGUGUUAAAUUUCAAAUCGAUGCUUAUCCGAUGCCGAUAUCAUGUUUUUCAGGCCACCGAAUAAAAAUCGAAGACAACAAUAAAUACCUAUAAUUAAUCUUAUUUAGAAGACUCUGCCAUCUGACAUCUUUUUACAUUAAAAGGAGCAUAUUGCAA